UUCCCUGGAAAAAGUUUUCUCAAGUUAUAGAGAACGGGAUUAAAUUUUCCUGCCGUUCGAAUUUUCGAAGAAAAGUUUCCUUUAUUAAUUUAUUUUUCGGGGAACCUUGUUAAAUUUUAAAUACAACAUAUGACCAGAAAUUGCAAAAGGAAAAGAAGAGGAAAUUGUACAAAACGGAAAGUCAACAAAUUUUCGCUUCUUUUUGUUUUGUUUGUUCUAUUCCAAUCCUUUAUAAAUCAGCUUUUUGCUUGUCACUGUUUCAAGUUCCAUAAAAAAUGGCAGAAGCAAUUCCAUUUGGUAUAGCUACCGAGAUAGUGACCAAACUUGGCUCUUCUCUUUUCCAACAAAUUGGGUCUCUUUAUGGUGUGAAAAAGGACUUACAGAAGCUUGAGAACACACUCUCCACCAUUCAAGCUGCUCUUCUUGAUGCCGAGGAGAGGCAAGAAAACAGCCAUUUGGUCCGAGAUUGGAUUAGAAAGCUCAAAGAUGCUGUCUUUGAUGCCGAUGACUUGUUGGAUGCAGUUGCAACUAGAGCUGCACAGCUUCAGUUGGAGACUCAUGGCUGGAGAACGGAAAAGGUACUUGAUUUUUUCUCAUCAACAAAUCCACUUGCUUUUAGAUACAAAUUGGGUUAUAAAAUUAAGGAGAUUAGAGGGAGAUUAGAUGGAAUCGCAGAAGAUAUGGCUAAGCUCAAUUUCAGGGAGAGGGCUAUAGAUUUCCAGGUUAAGAAUAGGGAGAGGGGCAAAACUCACUCUUUUGUGUUGACAUCAGAAGUUAUUGGUAGAGAUGAGAAUAAAGAAGAUAUCAUAGAAUUGCUAAUGUCUUCUCACAAUCAAGAAAGUUUUUCCAUUAUUCCAAUUAUUGGAAUUGGUGGUUUAGGUAAAACUACCCUUGCCCAAUUUGUUUAUAAUGAUGAGAGGGUUGUUAAAUUCUUUGAGAAGAGGAUGUGGGUUUGUGUUACUGAAGAUUUUGAUAUUGAAACGCUUGUUAGAAAAAUCUUAGCUUCUAUGACAAAUUGUGAAUUGGGUGACUUGGAUAUGGAUCUGUUGCAAAUUCGCCUUCGGAAAAACUUGAAUGAUAAGAAGUACCUUCUUGUUCUGGAUGAUAUGUGGAAUGAGAAUCUUGAGAGAUGGAUUUCCUUGAGAAAUCUGCUUGUUGGCGGUGCUAAAGGAAGCAGGAUUCUUGUGACUACUCGCAGCAGAAAAGUUGCAUCUGUUAUGGGCGUGGAGUCCUCAUAUUUUUUGAAAGGUUUAACAGAAGAAGAAAGUUGGAUAUUGCUGAAACAAGUCGCAUUUCAAGAAAGGCAAGAUAAAGUUGAUGCAAACUUGGAAGCAAUUGGCAAAAGAUUGGUUGAAAGGUGCAAAGGAGUCCCUCUAGCCAUAAAAACUUUUGGGAGUGUAAUGCAAUUCAAAACAGAAGAAAGUGAUUGGUUUGCAAUAGAAAAUAGUGAAAGCUGGAAGCUGUCUGAAGAAUCUAAUGAUAUUUUACCAGUACUGAAGUUGAGCUAUGAUCACUUGCCCAUUAAUCUGCGUCAAUGUUUUGCCUAUUGUUCAAUAUUCCCCAAGGGUUAUAGCAUCUGUAAAGAUCAGUUGAUCCAGUUGUGGAUGGCGCAAGAUUACAUUCCCUCUUCUUGCGGAAAUCAGAAUUUAGAGGAAAUUGGUGAUCAGUAUUUUAAUGAUUUGCUGUUGAGGUCAUUUUUUCAAGAGGUUGAAAAAGAUGAUUUUGGUAACAUAAUAAGUUGCAAAAUGCAUGACCUGAUUCAUGAUCUUGCACAAACCAUUGCAGGGACUGACUGCUUACUUUCAGGAAUUGAUGCUGAAAAUAUAUCCAAAAGACUGCGCCAUUUGUCAUUUGAUCGAUCUCUAUAUUAUACAUGGGAAGUUCCACAUCACUUGCAGCAGAUAAAAGGUUUGAGGACUUUCCUUUUACCUGUUAAUGAUCGCUGGAUAAAUGAAUCCAAUCAAGUCACCCUCAUUUCAAAUUUUAAACGACUGCGCGUGUUGGACAUGCAUUGUUUAGGUAUUGAAAAGUUGCCUUGCUCAAUUGUUAAGUUGAAGCACUUGAGGUAUCUUGACAUCUCUAAUAAUAGUCUCGUGGAAAGGCUUCCAGGAUCAAUUUGUAAUUUGCUUAACUUGCAAACCCUACUGCUAGCACGUUGUGAAAGACUAAUUGAGCUGCCUAGAGACAUUAGAAAAUUGAUCAACCUCAGACAUCUUGUGAUCAUCAAAUGUCCUAGGUUGAGACACAUGCCACCUGGACUAGGAGAAUUGACUUGUCUGCGGACAUUAUCGAGAUUCAUUGUGCCUCGCAACAAAGAGACUGCAUCAGAUACAGCAAAGCUUAAUGAACUUAAUGGCUUAAAUCUCCUCCGGGGUGGGAUAUGGCUUAAGAACCUCGAAUCCUUGACUGAUUCUCUUUUGGAAUCACAUGAAGCAAACUUGAAGAGAAAGAUUUAUCUCCAGUUCCUGGGAUUACAAUGGAUCCCGACAGAGGCUAAUGUUAGUCAGAGUAAUGAAGCACUUUUAGAGAUUCUCCACCCUCCUCCAAAUCUGAAACACUUAUGGGUGGAAGGAUAUGGCGGUGUAAAACUCUCAAGUUGGCUUUCCUCACUUAAAAAUAUUGUCAGAAUUACUAUUCGGAAUUGUCCCAAAUGCCGGAAACUCCCGCCACUGGAGCAUCUCCCUUCUCUCAGGUUUCUGCAUCUUCACAAAUUAGCUGCUUUGGAAUACAUAGAAUAUGAUAAUAAUGAGAUGUUUUCUUCAUCAGCAUCAAAAACAGCAUUCUUCCCAUCACUGCAGGAGCUCUGGCUUUACAAAUUGCCCAAUUUUAAGGGAUGGCAAUUGAGAGAAUUUAUUGAUGAGAAUAAUGGGACAUCAGCAGCAUUCACAGCUGACAACAAUCAAUCUCUCGAACACCUUUUUCCCUGCCUUAAUCAAUUAACCAUUGAAAGGUGUUCUAAACUGACUUCUAUGCCAUUCUUUCCCUAUCUGGAUUCACUUCAUCUUAUAAAUUCCAGUGUGCUGGUGACAGCAGCAUCAACCUUCUCUUCAUUUUCCUUUUCCCUCUUCCCUUUUUCAACAAUAAACAUUCUAUUUAUAGAGAAAGAUGAAUAUCUCGAGUGUUUGCCUGAAGAGGGAUUGCAGAACCUUACUUCUCUCAAGACAUUGAAACUUAAAAAUUGUCCUAGACUAGCGUUUCUUUCUCCAGGCAUCAAUUAUCUCACUCGACUUACAAGUCUGGAGAUCAGUGAGUGCAGCAGGAUUGAUUUGUUUCAUGACAACGGCAUUCAGUGGCAAGGCCUUAGGAACCUUUGUCAUCUAAUUAUUGAUUAUCUUCCUCAGCUAGUUUCUCUCCCAGAGGGGCUUCAGAAUAUAACUGGUCUGAAAGAACUGAAGAUUUUAAGUUGCUAUAAUCUAGUCGCUUUGCCAGAGUGGAUAAGGAACUUCUCAUUACUUCAAGAGCUUGAAAUUUCAGAUUGCUCUAGUUUUAAAUCACUGCCUGAAGGGAUUCAUGCACAUACAUCUUUGCAGAAACUGAAAAUUGCCAAUGGUCCCAGUCCCAGCUUCUUGGAUAUAACCCAAAGGAUUUCACAUCACAGAGGUUAACAUCAAAAGACAAAAAGUACAAACAAGGCAUUCUAUGCUUUAUGCUCUUGUGGUCUCAAACUUUUGCCUGCCUAUUGUGUUCUGAGGAUGUGGAAGCAAAUGGACCUAGUUUCUUUGAAGAUGAGAAAAUUUCUGCAUUUUCUUCUCCAGCAAAGCCAAAUAUUGUGAUAAUCAUCCCUUGCAGCAGCACCUAUGGGAAUCACAGGGCUGCUAUUGAGAGUGUACAUAUGGUGAUAAUCUGAUAAUUAAUGUAUAAUGAGAAUUAGAUAACCUGUGAACUGAUAUCUACAUUGUUUUGAUUUUAAGGGUAGAUUUGUCUUUUCUUCCUUGGGAAUGAUUUGCUAUUCUUUUGGAGACUUACAACUGUAUGGUUUAAUUGCUUAUAACAUAUUCCUUUUGACCCUGUUGAA